UCUCAUCCUAUUGCUGUUACCUGGGAGAAGAGACCAACCCCCCCACCUCACCACAGUCUCCUUUCAGGGGGUUGUAGAGAGCUAUAAAGUCUCCCCAAGCCUCCUCCAAAUUAAACAAUCCCAGUUCCCUCAGCCACUCACCAUUAAACUUGUGCUCUAGACCCUUCACCAGCCCAGUUACCCUUCCUUGGACACACACAGCAUUUACAGUAGGUCCCCCACUGAGUUCUUAACUACUCAGGUGUACCUGCCUGCUGUAGUCCUGGUUGCACACACAGGCUGAUCCUGAAGCAAGAUGACCUUCAGGGAGCAGCAGCAGGGCUGCUCUAUGAGGAGAGACAAACAAGAGCUGAUGGUUGCCCCAGUCUAAGCAGCGCCCUCACCACAGGGACCUGAUGCCAUAAAGGUUGGGUGCAGGGGGCAGCAUACAUCAGCAGUCCCACAGAGGCAUUGAAGCAGAUCCACCCAGAAAACAUAAGCACAAGGUCCAUCUGGGAAGCAAGCUACCUUUGGAGAAGGGCCAAGAUGAACUAAAAGACAAGUUUACAAAUACACCUACAGCACAGCUCAAGCAAAGAGCAAGCCUAACUCCAUCUCUGAGCUUAAAUAGAGGUCCUGGCCAGAGGCUCCAGUGUCCUCAGCAAACAAAGAACUUGAUGAAUAACCACAUACUAUCCUUGAGCCCUGCAGUUACCCAUUCCUCUAUACAGUUUCAGCCACUUAUCCGUGUCAGAAGAACUCUCUGAACUAUCAUGAAUCCAACUUCACAGCUGGAUUCACGAUAGCCCACACUAUCCCACCCAGGGCUCUGGAGGGAUUUGAGAUUUUUUUAGUGAUGCUUAGAAUCCAGAGUUACACAGACUACAUUACACAGACUCCUGUUUCCUGACUCUGGACACAGGAGCAGCAGCACUAAUGGCAUGUCAGGUGCACUGGCAGCCAUGUAGCCAGCUGGCUGGCAGAAGAUUUCUCCCUUCUGUUAAUCUCUCAUGUCCAGUUUUGGCCGUCCCAGCACAAGAAAGACAUGGACUUACUGUCCAGCCUGGCGAACAAAUGGCUGAAUGGAAUCCAGCUGCUGCUUGAAUUGCCCAACUGGCACCUACGGAAAGGAUGAAGCUGGGCUCUUCUCUGAGCUGCACAGAGAAAGGACAAGAAACAAGAAUCAGGUUGCAACAAAGAACAUUUGGAGUGGACAGAGAAAAAAGGUCAUCUAUGGGAGUGCUUAAGCACGGAAACAGGUUGUCUUGAGGGUGUAGGAAUCUGUCUAUUUGAUCAGGCACUGGAACAGGCUGCCCACGAAGGUGGUUGAGUCACCAUACCUGGAGAUGUUCAGAUGUUUAGAUGUUGUGUUAAGGGACAUGAUUUAGUGGGGAACUGUUGGUGGUAGGUGGACAGUUGGACUAGAUGAUCACAGAGGCCUUUUCUAACCUUGAUGAUUCUGUAAUUCCAUGAUUUACCCUUGAAGACAGAAUUUAUCUGGAGAAGGCCCACUGUGACUUGAACACUGACAAAGCUCUGAGCAAGGGGCUGGAUUUGAUGACCUCCAGAGGUCCUUUCCAACUCAAUUCUAAGCCUACAAGAAAAGCUUGCUACUCCUUCCACUGUAAUGCCUCUCAUAUCUGUUUUUCACCAUCUAUAUACUAAAUCUGUCAUCUACAUCCUCACAAUAUUGCAUCCUGAUUAAUUCAAAACUGCUGUUUUCAGGCCAUCUGUUACGCAUAUCUCCCCCCCCUCAAGUGAGUAUAU
ensembl:lncRNA